UACGUAGGGGGCAAGCGUUGUUCGGAAUUACUGGGCGUAAAGCGCGCGUAGGCGGAUUGGCAAGUCAGAUGUGAAAGCCCCGGGCUCAACUUGGGAACUGCAUUUGAUACUGCCAGACUAGAGUACAGAAGAGGUGACUGGAAUUCCCAGUGUAGCGGUGAAAUGCGUAGAUAUUGGGAGGAACACCAGAUGCGAAGGCGGGUCACUGGGCUGAUACUGACGCUGAGGCGCGAAAGCCAGGGGAGCGAACGGG
rnacentral:rRNA from 1 species